rnacentral:rRNA from 1 species
GAUUAGUGGCGAACGGGUGAGUAAUGCACCGGAACGUGCCCAAUCGUGGGGGAUAACGCAGCGAAAGCUGUGCUAAUACCGCAUACGAUCUACGGAUGAAAGCGGGGGACCGUAAGGCCUCGCGCGAUUGGAGCGGCCGAUAUCAGAUUAGGUUGUUGGUGAGGUAAAAGCUCACCAAGCCGACGAUCUGUAGCUGGUCUGAGAGGACGACCAGCCACACUGGAACUGAGACACGGUCCAGACUCC